rnacentral:rRNA from 1 species
AACGAACGCUGGCGGCAGGCUUAACACAUGCAAGUCGAGCGCCCCGCAAGGGGAGCGGCAGACGGGUGAGUAACGCGUGGGAAUCUACCCAUCCCUACGGAAUAGCUCCGGGAAACUGGAAUUAAUACCGUAUACGCCCUACGGGGGAAAGAUUUAUCGGGGAUGGAUGAGCCCGCGUUGGAUUAGCUAGUUGGUGGGGUAAAGGCCUACCAAGGCGACGAUCCAUAGCUGGUCUGAGAGGAUGAUCAGCCACAUUGGGACUGAGACACGGCCCAAACUCCUACGGGAGGCAGCAGUGGGGAAUAUUGGACAAUGGGGGCAACCCUGAUCCAGCCAUGCCGCGUGAGUGAUGAAGGCCUUAGGGUUGUAAAGCUCUUUCACCGGGGAAGAUAAUGACGGUACCCGGAGAAGAAGCCCCGGCUAACUUCGUGCCAGCAGCCGCCGCGG